GGUUGCACCGAGGGGUGUCCCGUCAAGGGGCUGAGAUACCACUGGACGUUGUCAGCGUGGUGACCCUAGAACCUGAUCCGGAUCAUGCCGGCGAAGGGACUGGUCUAGCAGGGCUUC
rnacentral:ncRNA from 2 species